rnacentral:snRNA from 1 species
AGAGAUAAGAAACGAUAGU